UACGGAAGGGGCGAGCGUUAUUCGGAAUUAUUGGGCGUAAAGCGCGUGUAGGCGGCUAAGUAAGUCGGGCGUGAAAUCCCACGGCUCAACCGUGGAAGUGCACUCGAAACUGCAUAGCUAGAGUCCUGGAGAGGAAGGUGGAAUGCUUGGUGUAGAGGUGAAAUUCGUAGAUAUCAAGCGGAACACCGGUGGCGAAGGCGGCCUUCUGGACAGUGACUGACGCUGAGACGCGAAAGCGUGGGGAGCAAACAGG
rnacentral:rRNA from 1 species